CCUACGGGAGGCAGCAGUGAGGAAUAUUGGUCAAUGGACGGAAGGCUGAACCAGCCAAGCCGCGUGAAGGACGAAGGUGCCACGCAUUGUAAACUUCUUUUGUCAAGGGACAAAAUCAGGCUCGAGAGCCUGACCGAGGGUGCUUGAAGAAAAAGCAUCUGCUAACUCCGUGCCAGCGGCCGCGGUAAUACGGAGGAUGCGGGCGUUAUCCGGUUUUAUUGGGUUUAAGGGGGGCGUCGGCGGACUGUUAAGUCAGCGGUAAAAGCCCGGGGCCCACCCCCGGCGAGCCGUUGAAACUGGCUGUCUGGAGAUGUCGAAGGGAAGGCGGAAUGCGCAGUGUAGCGGUGAAAUGCUUAGAUAUUGUGCAGAACUCCGAUCGCGAAGGCAGGAUACCGGCGGCGAUCUGACGCUGAGGCACGAAAGCGUGGGUAUCGAACAGGAUUAGAUACCCGGGUAGUC
rnacentral:rRNA from 1 species